rnacentral:tRNA from 1 species
GCCCCCGUAGCUCAGGUGGAUAGAGCACUGGCCUCCGGAGCCAGAGGCCCAGGUUCGAGUCCUGGCGGGGGUA